rnacentral:rRNA from 1 species
GACGAACCGUGCGAACGUUGUUCGGAAUCACUGGGCUUAAAGGGCGCGUAGGCGGGCUGGCAAGUCCGGGGUGAAAUCCGUCGGCUCAACCGGCGGACGGCCUCGGAUACUGCCGGCCUGGAGGCGGGUAGGGGCGGGCGGAACUCUGGGUGGAGCGGUGAAAUGCGUUGAUAUCCAGAGGAACUCCGGUGGCGAAGGCGGCCCGCUGGACCCGGUCUGACGCUGAGGCGCGAAAGCCAGGGGAGCGAACGGG